GAUCCUUAACCUACUGGGCAAGGCCAGGGAUCGAACCUGCAUCCUCAUGGAUACAUAUUGGGUUCAUAACCCACUAACCACAGUGGGAUCUCCAAAAAUUUGCUGUUUUAAACCUACAACUUGAUUAACUUUUAUAACAAUAUAUAAAUAAUCACUCACAAUCAGAAGAUUUUAUAUAAUAUUUUUGUUACCCCGUGACCAUAUCCAGUCAAAAGCACCCGUGGACCCCAGGAAAACAUGUUUCCUGUUCCUAUAGUUUUGGCUUUUCCAGAAUUUCAUAAAAAUUGAAACAAACUUAAGUAGUCAUUUGUAUCUGAUAUCUUUUACUUGUACUUUGUGAUUGAUUCAUCUGUAUUUACAUGUGUAAAUAAAUUGUUAUUUUUUAUUACUGAGCAGUAGUCAAUUAUAUGCAUGUGAUGCAUUUUCUUAAUUCAUCAGUAGAUGUAAAUAUAUAUAUGCAUAUAUGAGUAUGUGUAUAUAUGUAUAUAUAUAUCUUUCCCCCCAAUUGUUGGCUAUUAAGAAACAAACUGCUAUGAACAUUCUAGUAAAAAUCAUUGUGUGGACAUAUGUAUUUGUUUGUUUAAAUACCUACUAGUUAAUAUGCUUAGUUUUAUGGUAAAAGUACGUUUAAGUAGUUAACAGUUGCUGAAUUACUUUCCAAUGUAAUUAUAUUAUUUGCAUCCCCAUCAGCAAUAUAUGAGAGUUUUGGUUUCUCCAAAUCUUCCCUAGCACCUACUAUUGUUAGAUUUUUUAAUUUUAGCUUCUUUACGGGUAUACAGUAAUAUCUCACUGUGGUUUCAAAUGUGUGUAUUCCUGGUGACUAAUAACAUUACAUAUAUUUUCAAGAGCUUAUUUUUCAUUUAUAUUAUUUGGUAAACUUUCUGUUCAAAUCUUUCACCUAUUUAAAAAAUUGAAUUAUUGGAUCUUUAUUAUUGAGUUGAAAGAAUUUUUAUAUAUUAUGGACACAAUACUCUGUGAGGUCAAAUUUUUGAAAUAUUUUCUUCUAAUCUGUGACUUUUUUUUACUUUCUUGAAAGUAUCUUUUGAAGAGCAAAAGUUUUCCUUUUGAUAAAGCCAAACUUAUCCUUUUGUGUGUGUGUUUUAUUCCUUUUGUGUGCUAAGAACACUUCACUUAUCAAAAUUACAAAGAUUUUUUCCUGUGUAUUCUUAGAAUGUUACAGUUUUAGCUCUUACUUUUAGGUCUAUAAUUAACAUCAGGCUAAUGUUUUUAUAUUAUGUGAAAUAAGAGCUAAGGUUUAUUUAUUUCCAUAUCUAAUUGUUUCAGAAUUUUCUUCCCAUACAAGUAACUUGGUACCUUUGUUAAAAAUUUAUUGACCACAUAUGUGUCAGUCCAUUUCUGGACUCUCUAUUCUCUUACAGUCAUUAUAUACAUAUAAUCACACCAGUACAACACUCUCUGGAUUAUAUUAGUUUAAAGGAAAUUUUUGAAAUCAGGUUAAGUCCUCCAACUUUUUUAUUUCUCAAAAUUGUUUUGACUUUUCUAGGCCCUUUGCAUUUCAAUAGAAAUGUUAGUAUCCACAUGUCAAUUUCCACAUACACAGAAAGAAAACAAAAAAAAACCCUGACCAGUUUAAAGAGAAUCGACAUCUCGAAUAUAUUGAGUCAUCUGAUCCAUGAACAUGAUAUGGUUAGGUUAAGGCACUUGCAAUUGGAGAGUAUCCUGCAUUAUCUACCUUGGGCCAUAUUUUCACAAGGAUAUUUAGAAGAUGAAAGUCAAAGAAGAUGUGACAAAUGAAGCAAUGAGAACAAUCUAAUGUGCAGUCACUGGAGUGUUUUAAGCAGAUGGACUGAUGUGACCAGCUUUAGGUUUUUGAAAAAAUAACUCUGAUGUGGAAAGUGUAUGAUCAUUUGGGCAAUUGUUCUCCGCCCCAGACUAAUUAAAUCAGACCCUCCAUGGGGUGAAGCCCAGGAAACAGUGCUUUUGAAAGCUUUUCAGGUGAUUCCAAUGCACGGCCAAGACUGGAAACCAGGAGUUUGGGGUAAGUUACCCGAGGAGGCAAGAUGGACAAGAUUCGAAACACAGGAGCAUGAAUUCCUGGUCUCAGCUUUGAUAUGUUAAGAGCUUUGAAGGCAUUACACCUGUCAUAACGAGAAGAAGCUGCGCAAGCUGAAAAUCAGCUGACUUGCUUGGACCAAUCAGAGGCUUAAAGUUGCGGGGCAAGGACCAAUCAGACUUAGCCUUGCAGGGAAAACCACCGCCCUGACCUCUGGAGCGUGAAGUGGUGAAGUGCAGGAGGAGGAGAUACAUCACCCAAGAUCUGCUUACCUGGGGCGGAAGCUGCUGGGACCUUAAGCUGUUUGGAGGCUGGGGUGCAUCUUACUCUGUCAGGAGAAACUCUCUAAUAGGCAAGAAAAGGGCUGGGUUUGCUCUAAUGCAAGUAGGAUUAGCAUCUUUGAACACUUACAUCUGAAUUCUCCUGAGGUCCUCUUGAGACUUGAAACUUUCUUCACUGAGGUACACUUUCCUUUCAUGCUGGAAGACAGGUUGGAUGAAGAAAGUUAUUGAGUAUUAUGGAGACUCAUUUUUGACUGGAGAUAUCUUUGUCAUUGGCAUCCUCAAAUAAGAUAAACAGUAACUUAGUUAUCCUGUGGAAGUUCGGGUUUCCCUGGCUUGUGACAGUUGACAUAAAAAUAAAUCCUGUGAGCCAUUUAGUUUUGGUAGAAAUGUUUUAUUGUAUGCUGUGGAUGGAAAAAAAAAAAGAUUGUAUUUCUAAAUUACAUAUCUGGAUAGACUGUGUUUCCUGAAAGGGAUUUAGGAAAAAGAGAAAGGGAAGCUUCACUUUGCAAAUUUCAGUCAUUUAUUUAUAUACUCAUUUAUUAGGGACAUACCGUGUGCUAAAACUAUCCUAGUUACUUGGAUUUUAACAUGAAUAAGGCAGUGUUUGUCUGUAGGUAGGUGUUCAGUAUAAUGGGGGUUAUAGACACAUUAAAAUAACGUAAUCUAUUGUGCCACUUCUAUGAUGGGGGCAUGCAGAUGAAGCUGCCCUCGUGCUCCCGGGUUACAUUUAUUUCUUUAUGCUGAACUGGCCUGGAGUAUGUCAGAAGUCUGGUCAUUCUUGACCCUUUGGACUUGGAAAGAAAAGAUUUUUGACCUGACCUAACAUUAAUCAUUUUGAAAGAUAACGAAGGAAAAGUUUAGGUUUCACACUCAGAGUAAUGAACAGAAGUGGAGAAGGAAUUAGAAAAUAGAAGUGUCUCAGUGUUAAUUUUAUCACCCACCCACCCGUGUACCCCCCACCCCCGAGAAGUAAGUAUUUCAAAACUGGAAGACUAGAGCUGUACCCAAAGGUCGUAGUGGGAAACCUAGUGAUUCUCGUUUUAGCAUUUAAGACUAACUGGCAUAUGUUCCUGGCAAUCUCAUUGCAUAAAUUAGGUUUUAAAUAAAUGAAGUAGAAAACAGUCUCAAAAAAUGAGGACAUUCAGAUUUAGAAUUUCAAAAUUGAGCAUCAUUUUUUUGACCCCUGAACAAGUUGCUUUUCUGUUUAUAGUGUAUGCUCUAGUGUGUUGGUGUACACAUUGAAAGAUACAUGUUUGAGGAAAGUUAUCUCAGGUUGUACAGUGGAGGUGAAGGAAGAAAGAAGAGAAUAUAUUUGAAAGAGCUGAUAGGGAGUUAAAUAUACAGAGGAGUUUUGAGUAUAUGAAAUGAACUUUCCAUAGCCUAUGGAAUUCAGAAAUAGCACAAUGUCUGUAAUUUCCAUGAGUUGCAAGAUGAGACAUGAUAAAGCCAAUAGGGAUUGAUGAAAGCAAUAACUAAGCCUGUGAGUAAAUGUGAUUAGAAGACUAGCACCCAGACUUUUGUUACUUCUUUCCAGAGAGGUGAAGGACAUCUCUGGAAAGAGGUAACGUGGACUCAUGAGGUCCCCUCUAGAAAGAGGUAACAUAGGUUCAUGAGGUGAUCCAUCAAUAAUACCAUUAAAAGCUACUAUUUAUUGAGCUCUGACCAUGAGCUAGUGAUUAUCCUCAGCUCUAGCACGUAUUAUUUAAUCUUUCCAACAGCUCCAGAAGUAGAGCUCAUUACUCUCAUGUUUAGAUGAGGAAACAGAAUAAAUAACUGCUCUAAAGUCAUACAUCUGGAAGAUGGAAAGCCAGGAUCUAAUCCAAGGAAGCCCAGCUCUAGAACUCACCAUGAGAUUCUCAACCAUUAUGUGAAGGAUCUGGUGAUACUUAGAUGAAAAGUGUUUUCAUGGAACUCAGGACGCCAUGGAGAUGACUAAGUUAGAUCCUGGCUCACUUUUGGGAGACUGUGCCUAUAUAUGAAACCCAGAAAUCCACUAGCUACAACUGGAAUUUUUUUUUGUCUUUCAGCUCAAGAUUUAUCCUUUAGUACUCACUCUCUAUGAUAGAUUCAGUCAUUCUCCUUAAUAGUGAGCAUAAUAUGAAGCUUUGUCCAGGGACGUUUUGUGAGAAGGGGAUUUUUCCUGGUUCUGGUUGCUGCUUUUGCUUCUGCUUGCUCAGGAUGCAUGAGGGUUUGUGAUGUGCAUGUGCCCGGGCAUCGAGCGGGCUCUACUCCAGCCACACAACCAAAGCGUGGUACCCCCGUAACCCCAGGGUUCCAGCCGAGGACUGGUGACCACUUUCUCGCAGCUCUUGACAUGCACAUCGUGUGCGUCAGGCCUUGUGCCUGUGGUAUUGCGCCUUUUCCUCCACCUGUCUGCUCACCUGCAUUGACUCACUUGCGACUUGAAGGGCUCUUCCUACUUGCUCAGCAAUUGUGGACUAGCUUUGGCCCAGGCAAAGCAGGCAGCUUCUCCACCACCCCAUAGUCUCUACCUCACCCUUGACUCUUCAUUCUUGGGUGGGAUCUGAACCCCAACCUUGGAGAAGCACCUCCCUUCCAGUUUUGUCCUUCCUCACACACCCACUACAGCCCUUGAGUACCCUUCAGAAUUCUCUUUACAUUGUUACAGUUAUUCUCUAUUCAUAGCUUCAUAUUCUUUUUGAUCAAGUGUCCCCUUUUUAAAAUUAUAAUGUGGUUUCUGUUUCCUGAUUGGACCCAGACUGAAACAGAAGCCAAGCAGCCCAAGUAUUGGGCAGUACCAUGGCACUCGUGAGAUAUACUUGGAAGAGCGCAUUUCUCAGUGCAGGACGUGGUAGAGGAAAUGAAUGGGGCAGCUCUAUCAGUCUGUGGGUGUUUGUCUGUGUGUCUGAGUUUUGAGGUUGAGAGUAGAGUUUAUACUUCUUAGGUAUUCUGAUGAUGGAACAUUUUCCCCAGAAGAGGAGAAUGAGGAACUGAUUUCCCACAUAUUAGACAAUAUUUCCUGUCUAAAUGCCAGAUUGAGCAACUCAAGGACACAAAGUGAAUCUGAAUCCCUCCUUUGAAAGAUUCAAGUCCAUAAAUCAAUGACUAGAUUACACUUUGUGAUGCCUUUUGAAAUUUACAAGAAAGAUAAUGUGUGUAACAUUCUUCAAAAAUUGACUAAUUCAAGUAUAAUUCAGAACAAUUUACUAAUGUGCAGUGAUUUAUAAAGAGACUUCGUUUUGCUUAAGAAUUUCCAAAUGGAAUGCAUAAGAGAGAAUAGCUGAGCAGAAAUAGCUCUUACAAGUUACAAAUGGGGUGUCUUAUGAAAAAUCCUAUGACCAGGGCAUUCAGAGUUGUCACACACUGACUUUCAGUGGGACCACGUCCAGUCUGUGUGAAGUGUGAUUGGUCCUGUGUGCUGCAUCCUCUUCCUGGGCUCAGAAACAUGUCCCUGACAACACGAAUGAUGUGAUAGGCAGAGCAAACAGCAGUUUUUAUGUAACAAGAAUGGUUAUAGGACAAAUGUUAUGUCCAAAUACAAUAAUCAUCGUCUUGGUGUUUUUGUUUUAUCUUCCCUUAUAUAUGCAUGCCACCUUCCCUACUGGAUUAUAGUAAGGAAAAUUUCAGGUAUUAUGGUAGGUUAAAUGGUGAAAUUGUGGGUAUUUGACAAUGUUGAUCCAUAAAGAGAUCCAUUUUAUAUGAUUCAACUUAAUGCCACUUUAUCUAGGAAUAUUUCAGUACAUAUUUCAAAAGAGAAGAGUUAUUUUAAAAUAUGAUUGAAAUACUAUUGUCACGCCAAACAUGUAACAGUUUUUUUUUUCUUAAAUAAAAUAUUUAAUUGGUGUUCAAAG